AUUGGCAGGCAACAGACAUGUGACUCACACCGGCCUUCUGCUGAGCUUGCUCUGUGUGAGGAAGCAAGAGAGAGAAAAUGGCUGAUGGAGGGAGAAAGCAGCAGUAGAAUGGAGAAAUAUCCCCCUGAAGCAUUGGUCCCUCGAGCGUCCUGGGAUCCAUGGAGCAUGAACAGAGUCUUAGGAAUAAACUAAGCCACUUACCAAGGAAAAGGGAUCUCUGCUAAAUCAGCAAACACAACACACCCUUUAAUUAUGCUACAAGCACCUUUACAGGAGAACAUCUAACCGUGCCUUAUAGGAACAGAUAGAAAUCCUCAAGAUGGGAAUCAUGCCCCAGAGGGGACACAAGACAUCAAAGUUGUGCUGACACUGAGAAAAUCCAGAUGCUUCCAGAUAACAUUCCCACUCAACUUCAGCAGCAGUACAAGUAGAGGUGGCAGUUAUCUGAUUUGCAAGCAAUCAACUGGAAUCAGC